rnacentral:lncRNA from 1 species
CAUACCAUCCUAACCAAGAUAAACUUUGUCGAUUCAAUCUUUAAAAUUAGAGGCAAGACAACUAUGUAUACAUACAUACAAUUAUAUAGCAUCAUAUUGGUACCAAUUCCAACUAGAAAUUGAGAAAUUAGUCUCGUGUGGGUUAUUUGAAAUUAAAAAGUUGAAAGGGAUUGUAGAAGGAUGUUGAAGGCAGAACGAGCACUACCGUCGCUUUGUAUACUGCGACCACAUAACAAUCAAUUGUAACUGUAGAGAACAUGAUGAAGCUCAAUAUCCAUUCAAAGAAGGAUGAUGGGAGAUUUAGAUAAAAAAAAAUAUAUCACAAGGUAGAGGAUGCCAUAGGUCAAGGAAGCUCGAUUUUUGGUGUCGACACUAGCAAGGAAAAGGAGAAAAGGGAUGACUUGGGUGUUAUCUUCAUUGGGUUAUCUUCAUUGUAUGUUAACCGUGACCCCUUUGUGUUCAAGUUUGUGUUAAUUUUAAUCGAUUGUGACUAAAUUUGUCAUCAUUGUGAUUGUAUGUGAUCAGGUCUGUUUUAAUUGUGACUAUAUGUGACCAAAGAUUGAUUGGUAACAGACAAUCACAAUGAAGACAAAUUUGGACACAAUUGAUCACAUAUGGUCACAUUUAAGAAAGACCCGAUCACAUCCGCUUUGAUAAUAGAGGCACUGGCAAGCACAGGUGCCCACCUAGCAUCCGGCCUCUGGAUGUGAACCAAACUGACUACUUCAAAAGAGAUGGGGUAUUUUGUGAAUUAUGUUUAAUAAUAUGACUGCUAUAAGAAUUUGGGAGAGAGGUGAAAAUUAGUGGCGGAGGAGGAGAUCGGAGCAUCUGAAGAAGGCAACUGUGGUGGUCGUGACAGACGGAGAAAUGGAAGAAUAGGGUGGCUUCAGUGAUGGCAUAAUCGGAAAUGCAAGAGAAAUUGAUAGGUUUGUGAUUGAUACAGGAAAAAUGCUAAACGAUUCGUAACGGUGACCCCACGGAUGAUUGCACACUCACAAUCGAGACGUGGGUCUCAAGUGAGUAAAAAAAUAUUUUCCCCUUUGUGUGUGUGUAUUAUGUCAACCGUGCGGUUCAUCUUGCAUGGUAGUUGAUACAGGGACGUAAUUUGGGAGGAGAGAGAGAGGUAUAAUAUAUUUUGUUAUUAUAAUUUAACAUUGAUCUG